rnacentral:rRNA from 1 species
AGCGAAUAGAUACCCAGGUAGUCCCAGCCGUAAACGAUGCUCGCUAGGUGUCAGGCAUGGCGCGACCGUGUCUGGUGCCGCAGGGAAGCCGUGAAGCGAGCCACCUGGGAAGUACGGCCGCAAGGCUGAAACUUAAAGGAAUUGGCGGGGAGCACAACAACGGGUGGAGCCUGCGGUUUAAUUGGACUCAACGCCGGACAACUCACCGGGGGCGACAGCAAUAUGUAGGCCAAGCUGAAGACUUUGCCUGAAUCGCUGAGAGGAGGUGCAUGGCCGUCGCCAGUUCGUACUGUGAAGCAUCCUGUUAAAGUCAGGCAACGAGCGAGACCCGUGCCCACUGUUACCAGCAUGUCCUCCGGGACGAUGGGUACUCUGUGGGGACCGCCUAUGUUAAAUAGGAGGAAGGUGCGGGCCACGGUAGGUCAGUAUGCCCCGAAUCUCCCGGGCUACACGCGGGCUACAAUGGAUGGGACAAUGGGUCCCUACUCCGAAAGGAGCUGGUAAUCUCACAAACCCAUUCGUAGUUCGGGUCGAGGGCU